AUGCCUACGGGACGCAGCAGUGGGGAAUCUUGCACAAUGGGGGAAACCCUGAUGCAGCGACGCCGCGUGAGUGAGGAAGUAUUUCGGUAUGUAAAGCUCUAUCAGCAGGGAAGAAAAUGACGGUACCUGACUAAGAAGCCCCGGCUAACUACGUGCCAGCAGCCGCGGUAAUACGUAGGGGGCGAGCGUUAUCCGGAUUUACUGGGUGUAAAGGGAGCGCAGGCGGCGUGGCAAGUCAGAUGUGAAAACCCGGGGCCCAACCCCGGGACUGCAUUUGAAACUGCCAUGCUGGAGUGCCGGAGAGG
rnacentral:rRNA from 1 species